GCCUCCGGCCACGCCCACCCCCGGCGCUGGCCAACCCGGGCCUCGCUGGGCGGGUCCGACCGCAGGGGGCGGAGCCUUCGUGGGUGGGGCUCGAAAGGAAAGGGGCGGGACCCAGCUUGGGUGUCCGCGCUGCUACCAGGCGGGAAGUGGAGACCCGCCUUCGACUUCAGAUAGGAAAUCUAAGAGAAGAGAAGCUGCUGCGGAGUCAUGCGCAACAACAGUAUCGCUUUGGAAGAACCCAGAGAACAGAGUUCAAGCUUAUCAAAAGAUCACCAAACAGCUACAGCAGCCCUGGAGCCAGUCUCCAGGGUUUAUCAUCUGGUGCAUAAAUGCCAUACCACAGCUUUCUCCUUGAAGAGAAGAAUCCUGCCGCCCUUGCCUGUACCCCACUGAAAUCGAGUCUCAAGCUUAGAAAUCGGUCAAUCAGUUAAAACCCAAGUAGGAGCAUGUCUCUGUUGUGCUCACAGCCCUCCAACUCAGACUAAAAAAACCCAGAGCCUUUACCAUGGCCUUCACAGACUCACCUGAUCCGGUGCCAGCUUCCUGUCUGACUUUAUUGCACAAGAUCCCUUCCUUGAACAGAUGAAGCAUUCUCCUGCCUCAGGACCUUAGCACUGGCUGUUCCUUUGAACUGCAUUCUCCUCCUUCAGUCACGUUUCAUUUUCUUUACGAAAUAAACAACUGCCAAAGAUGGCUUUCCUGACAAUUUUAUGUAAAAUCACACCUCUUGGAAACCUCUUAUGCUUUCUUUCCUAAAUGUGCUUUGUCUUCCUAGCACUAACCACCACCUGAUUAUUUGCUAACUUGUUUAUGUUCUGUCUCCUUCCCUAGAACUUGAGCUCCACAGAGCAAGGAUUGAUUCUUGUCCAGGUCAUUUACCCCUGCAUUUUUGUGCUGGCCAGCACAUAGUAGGUGUUCAGUAGAUUCUUAGGGAAUGAAUGAUUCAAGCCUUGUAGUGAAUAAACAGUAUUCUCACCAAACCCUCUAGUGCCCAUUACGAUAUUAAUCUUUCAAUAACAAUGGCAACUCAUUUUUCUGGAAGUUUCCUAGGGGUCAGGGCCUUAGGAAUAUUAUCUUCUUAUACAGGCCACUACCUCUAGUCCUGAACCCCCAGAGGGGCAAAUUGAUGAGCUCAGAGAAGUCAGGCAACUUGCCCAGGAUGGCUGAGAAGAGGCACCCAGGCAUCUGGCCUGACCGCAGAGCCGAGUUCUUAAACCUCUGAGCAGUGAUUUGUC
rnacentral:lncRNA from 1 species